CACGUAGGCGGACCUGCAAGUUGGGGGUGAAAUCCCGGGGCUCAACCCCGGAACUGCCUUCAAAACUGCUGGUCUUGAGGUCGAGAGAGGUGAGUGGAAUUCCGAGUGUAGAGGCGAAAUUCGUAGAUAUUGGGAGGAACACCAGUGGCGAAGGCGGCUCACUGGCUCGAUACUGACGCUGAGGUGCGAAAGCGUGGGGAGCAAACA
rnacentral:rRNA from 1 species